GACGAACGCUGGCGGCGUGCUUAACACAUGCAAGUCGAACGGAAAGGCCCUGCUUUUGUGGUGUGCUCGAGUGGCGAACGGGUGAGUAACACGUGAGUAACCUGCCCUUGACUUUGGUAUAACUUCAGGAAACUGGGGCUAAUACCGUAUAGCAGCUCCUGCUGCAUGGUGGGGGUUGGAAAGUUUCGGCGGUUGGGGAUGGACUCGCGGCUUAUCAGCUUGUUGGUGGGGUAGUGGCUUACCAAGGCUUUGACGGGUAGCCGGCCUGAGAGGGUGACCGGCCACAUUGGGACUGAGAUACGGCGCAGACUCCUACGGGAGGCAGCAGUGGGGAAUAUUGCACAAUGGGCGGAAGCGUGAUGCAGCAACGCCGCGUGCGGGAUGACGGCCUUCGGGUUGUAAACCGCUUUCGCCUGUGACGAAGCGUGAGUGACGGUAAUGGGUAAAGAAGCACCGGCUAACUACGUG
rnacentral:rRNA from 1 species